rnacentral:lncRNA from 1 species
CAUGGCAUCAUCAUUAUUAUACUCUAAACAUCAUUAUUAAACCCCUAACAUCAUCACUAAACUCUAAAUACCAUUAUUGCACCCUAAACUAUAAUCUCGAUCUAAACCCUUCACAUCUAUCUAUAUCUAUAUCUAUACAUCUAUACAUCUAUACAUAUAUAUUAUUUCUUCUAAAAUUGCCACAUGGCAAUUUUACCUUCAUGGUGAGUGUGGACUCUAUCCCGAACCAGCUCAAGUAGUCCUUCAUCUUCCUCUUCCUUCGACUAUUAUCUUCAUUCAUUAGUAAGAUGAAUCUCAUUCCUUAUCAUUAUUUUUUUCAUCGCCUUUUUUUUUGUCGACGUUUUUUAUUUUUUUUAAUUAUCUAUUUGCCGUAUCGCGCCGGUUACUACAGUAUUAUACAUUCCAACACAUCAACAAUAUUAUA